UCAUCACCCUUAAUAGAGAGGUGCAGGAUGUGGUAUUUCUUCGUCGUCUCAUUUAGACACUCAGUUUUUUAAGACGUUAUUUGAGGCUUCUAACCAAAAACACAUCCAGAAACCCAUUGACUUUGUGGUAAGCGAACCAAAAUGCAGAAAAACUGACUAAUUCCGAUGUUUUAGGACUCAUUCCUGCACCUCGCUAUCAGUCACCAACAUGCAUGGAAGACACUCAAAGCAAUUUAAGCCAUUUUCCCUUUUUUUUAAAUUACCUUUUUAAAACAUAUUACGUUGAAUAUUGCGUGUGCGUGGAGCGUUAAUUGGUUUUACCGUGAGGAGGACUCGGAGGAAACAAGAUGCAAAGAAAGGGCUUCCUGGCACGUGGAUUGUAAAGGACUCAAGUGCACGAGGACACAUGGAACCAGUGGGCCAAUAACCACCAUGAGACUGGGAGGAACUGGUGAAUACAUAUGUUUCUGUUCUAGAUGCCGGUUAUUAGUGAUUGUGAAAACUCCAGAUUGUAAACAUGUAUCUGCAUAAAGUAAUCCGAUGACACAAUGUACUGCAAGGCCUUAUAAGGACUCUAUGGAUGUGUUUCAAAGUACUUUUGUAAUUGUAAUGAAAGUUUAACCCAAAAAGACUCGUGGUGAUAACAUUGGAUCUGAGAACUUGUGAAAAAUGCCAGUUUUAUGUCUUGAUUUUCACCAAAUUGUCACAUUUAUGUUUUAAUAAUAGUUUAGAGAAGUGUCUCUUUCAUUGCACCGCAUUAAAGAAGAGUCACGCCUG